GACGAACCGUGCAAACGUUGUUCGGAAUCACUGGGCUUAAAGGGCGCGUAGGCGGGUUCCCAAGUCGGUGGUGAAAUCUUUCGGCCCAACCGGAAAAGUGCCGCCGAUACUGGGAGUCUCGAGGGAGGUAGGGGUCGAGGGAACUCUAGGUGGAGCGGUGAAAUGCGUAGAUAUCUGGAGGAACGCCGGUGGCGAAAGCGCUCGACUGGACCUCUUCUGACGCUGAGGCGCGAAAGCCAGGGGAGCAAACGGG
rnacentral:rRNA from 1 species